UCCCCCCUCUGUCGGCGUGCCUAAUACAUGCAAGUCGAACGCAUUUUCUUUCACCGUAGCUUGCUACACCGAAAGAAAAUGAGUGGCGAACGGGUGAGUAACACGUGGGUAACCUGCCCAUCAGCGGGGGAUAACACUUGGAAACAGGUGCUAAUACCGCAUAAUUCCAUUUACCGCAUGGGAAAUGGAUGAAAGGCGCUUUUGCGUCACUGAUGGAUGGACCCGCGGUGCAUUAGCUAGUUGGUGGGGUAACGGCCUACCAAGGCUGCGAUGCAUAGCCGACCUGAGAGGGUGAUCGGCCACACUGGGACUGAGACACGGCCCAGACUCCUACGGGAGGCAGCAGUAGGGAAUCUUCGGCAAUGGACGCAAGUCUGACCGAGCAACGCCGCGUGAGUGAAGAAGGUUUUCGGAUCGUAAAACUCUGUUGUUAGAGAAGAACAAGGAUGAGAGUGGAAAGUUCAUCCCUUGACGGUAUCUAACCAGAAAGCCACGGCUAACUACGUG
rnacentral:rRNA from 1 species